rnacentral:misc_RNA from 1 species
UCCGACUUAACGUCGGCAGUCCCUUUAGAGUGCCCAACUGAAUGCUGGCAACUAAAGGCAAGGGUUGCGCUCGUUGCGGGACUUAACCCAACAUCUCACGACACGAGCUGACGACAGCCAUGCAGCACCUAUGGAACGACUCUUGCGAGCGACCAUAUCUCUAUGAUCUUCCCUUCCACUUCGAGCCCAGGUAAGGUUUUUCGCGUUGCAUCGAAUUGAACCACAUUCUCCACCGCUUGUGCGGACCCCCGUCAAUUUCUUUGAGUUUUAAUCUUGCGACCGUACUUCCCAGGCGGGAUACUUAACGCGUUAGCUUCGGCACUGAAGGGGUCAAUACCUCCAACACCAAGUAUCCAUCGUUUACAGCGUAGACUAC